rnacentral:rRNA from 1 species
UCGCAGAUAGAGGUAGUGAUGAUAAAUAACAAUACAAGACUCGUCCGAGGCCUUGUUAUGGAAUGAGAUAAUUAUAAAUUCCUCCCAAGGAACAAUUGAGGGCAAGUCUGGUGCCAGCAGCCGCGGUAAUUCCAGCUCCAAUAGCGUAUAUUAAUGUUGUUGUGGUUAAAAGCUCGUAGUUGGAUAUCGAUCGCUUAAGAAUGGUUUCAUGCGAAUGAAACUAUUCAAAAAGCUGUUAAAUGGGAGAGGCUUACCUAAGGCUUAAAUGCUUUGGGUAUAUAGCUUAUCUCCAAUAUUACUUUGAAUAAAUCAGAGUUCUUAAGACAGGCGUGAUGCUUGUAUAUUGGUGCAUGGAAUAAUAGAAUAAGAUUUUCAUUUCGUUCCGUUGGUUGAUGAGGCGGAAAUAAUGAUUAAUCGGGACAGCCGGGUGCAUAGGUAUUCAUAAGCGAGAGGUGAAAUUCGGUGACCUUAUGAAGACCACCUAUUGCGAAGGCAUUUGCAAAGAAUGUUUUCGUUAAUCAAGAACGAAAGUUAGAGGUUCGAAGGCGAUUAGAUACCGCCCUAGUUCUAACCAUAAACAAUGCCAACUAGUAAUCUCGUAUCGUUUGAAUAAAACGACACACGAGGCUGCUUUCGGGAAACCAAAGUUUUUGGGUUCCUGGGGAAGUAUGGUUGCAAAGCUGAAACUUAAAGUAAUUGACGGAAGGGCACCACCAGGAGUGGAGCCUG